rnacentral:piRNA from 1 species
UAAAUGGACUUUGGCCCCAGGUCAAUUCUGGC